rnacentral:miRNA from 1 species
CGGUCGGCCGAUCGCUCGGUC